UGAAAACCACCUACGGUAAUCUUCUGUACCUUCUGAAAAUCAUGGCGCCACAGAGAAUGGGGGGUAUUUGGAAGGCUGUGUUGCUUUCAUUUUCUUCCUAGGAUUAGUGUUAUGGGUUGAAUUAUGUUCCCUACCCCUUGCCCCGCAAAAGGAUUUUUUUUUGAGUAGGUGACACGGGUAAGUCCUAGCCGUCAGCACCUCAGAAUGCAAACUUAUUUGGAAAUAGAAUCUUUAUAGUGGUGAUAAAAUUAAAGUGAAGUCAAAAGGAUGAACCUUAAGCCAAUAAUGACUGGCGUCCUUAUAAAAAAGGGAGAUCUGAACACAGAGACAGACAUGCACAGAGGGCAGACAAUGUGAAGAGGCACAGGGAGAAGAUAUAAAAAAUGUAGUAUUUUUCAGAGGUUUGAGAUAGCAUGGAUAUAGCUGGGACCAGAACACAGCAAUAAACUGUGUGGGGAGAUUGAAAGUCAGAUGUGAAUUAAAAUAUUUUGCAGAUGCUUGUGUAGAUAGAUAAUGAUCUCAAGGUCCAGUUUACAUUUAUUUUCCCUGUGAUACCUUGGAACUACAUAAAUUGCCUAGAAAUUAGGCGUAAUCUCAGGAAAAGGUACUGAAAAGUGAUUUGUGAGGAUCAAUGGAUUCACAGGGUUUUCUCCUGGAAUUGUCAGAAUGCCAAGGCAGUUCUUAAGUAGAUUCCUGGAUGAGGAACCCUCUCUGCAAAGGACAACCAUUUGUGAUGAAUGAACGGAAACAGAGCUCUUAGAUCAUUGCGUAUAAGAUGGCCUCUCAUUACAUGGAUUUCUGCUAGCUCUGUGUACUUAUUUAAAGUUUCAAUCAUCUGACAGUUAUUUAUUGGGUGCCCAUAAUUUGCCAAUCACAUGUUUUUUUUCUUUAUAUCUGUCCCAUAAAACAAAACAAAACAAAACAAAAC
rnacentral:lncRNA from 10 species